GUUCGCUUCGGCAGCACAUAUACUGAAAUUGGAACAAUACAGAGAUCAGCAUGGCCCCUGAGCAAGGAUAUCUCGCAAAUUCAUGAAGCAUUCCAUAUUUAA